ACAAAAUAUAACCGGAACAUAACCGCCUUCGCUACAUCCUGCAUUGAACCUUCCUUUCCGACAAAUACUCCGAGGUUGACUUCCUCGCGCACAAUCAGUGCAAAAUCAAAUCAUGAUCCAAUUUAUUUCCUCCUCUGUAAUUAUGGAUGGAUUCAUCUUCGCACGUUUCUUGGAAGAACUCGACAAGUAGAGGUUGCAAGAUAAACAAAGAGAAUCAUACAGACAGAUCCUUUGUCGGUGUCACGGGACUAGGAUCCCCAACUCAGAGCAGCUGGGCUAUUUGAAGGUACUGUAGUGAUAUUGCUUCCUUAUGUGUUUUGCUCAUUGCUAUGUGGAGUUUUGUGUGUUUGAUUAGCAGAGCAGAUCAUUUAUGAGGGUAUGUUGCCAAGUUCAUUAAUAUUUUUUAAGCACUGUGUAUAUAUUUAGCGAUACAAGCAGUUUGUUCGCCCUGAUGAGUUGUAUAACUGAAUCAAUUUUACUUGCAGAUUUUGUGUUUCUUGAAUGGACUCUUGCUUGUGUGCUGAUUUUUAAUUUUAGGUGUUGACGAUAGAAGGUUUUUUUCUUCCAAUUUCCCAUUCCUACAUGUUCUUUGCCUAUUGAUUGUAUUUGUAAUUGGUUUAGAUUAAUCAAUCACUCAUUUAUGGGACUACAUAUUGUUCACCAUGAUCUAAAAUCUAGCAAUGUUGCGCUAGGUGCAUAUAUGAAUUUUAAAAUUACAAAUUUUAUGUGUCAAUCAUGCGUCUAGGACUCUGCUGAUCAGGACCGUUUUCACAGCCAAUAGCUCAUAAGAAAAUAUGCUCCAUCGAUAUCGAAAGAAAGUAAAAAUCCAAAAGCAGAUGAAGGUAUUUGUCAUAACAUUUCUGUGUUUAACUGUUCUUUUCUAACAAGGUUGUGUGCUUUAUUGUUCUUUAAACUAUUUAGUUAAGGUGUACAAUUACAUUUUGACGGGGAACACAUUCCAAGGUGGUUUUUUCAAUGGACAUGGUAAUGAUUUACAUG